AAUGAAACUGGCAUCACCAAACAAUCCAUGGAUAUGCCUCUAGAACCACCCACGAGUUAAUGUAAGUAUAUAUAUAUAUAUAUAUAUAUAUAUAAUAAAGUUUUGGUGUAAUGUAAGGGACUUUAAUGUAACAUAACAACAACAGAAAAUCAAUUUUCUUUUUUGAAUUAUUUAGGUGACCAUAUGGAAAAAGAAAGGGUUACUUUGGAUGUAUUUUUCAGUCAUGACUUGCGUGUAGCCGUUGGAGAAAGGAUCCUGAUACGGUCCUAAACUACAAGAGGAAUGUAAAUCUAAGAGAUAAGUGUUCUUAUUAUCAUUUCACAACUUCUUAUUUACAUUUAUAGUCCUUGAAGCUAACUGAAUUCUAACAGAAUUUCCCUUUCUAACUAACAGCAUCCUAUAACGGAUUCUGGAAGGUUCCGCAAUCCUUCGAAGGUCAAGGACGAAAGCUACGGGGCCGCAAGGCGAGGCGUCUAAACGAAAUCCCGCAAGUAAGCUGGUUUCUUACACUCUCUCUUGGGCCUGCUUGUAUCUAUAUGUUGAUGUUGGUCUGUUGUUGCUGUGUUACUAUCAGAUCCCUUGGAUUUUGAUUUUGAUUUUGCAUUUAAAAAUCAAAAGUAAAAAAAAAUAAAAAUCCAACUAUUUGUCGUUUCUUGCUUCCGAAUAACCAUGUAGACAGUGGAGACUUAUAUUAAAAAAAAGUAUUUGUUUAAAAAAUAAUUUAAUCGUUUAAAAAUGUAAUAUAUUUAAUAGUUAACAAGACAAUAAAUUAUGAAAUUAUAUUUAAUAACACUCUUAUAUAUGCAAUUUGAAUUGCUUGAAAUAAAUGUAUAAAACUACCAGGCUGAAUCAUAUUCAUAAAGAACUCUUGUGGAUACAUCAUAGUUUUAUGACAACAAUAAUAAUAAUCCUUGACAUUAUGAACUCACUCGUUUGCGAUUAAAUCUAGUUCUCCGCAGACAGCAUAAAUGACGACUAUCAAGCACAUUUAUUGCAAUGAUUAAUUGACAAAUUCCGUAUUUAUGCAUGGUUGGCUAAUUAUUCAUCAUAAUGUUAUUAUUUGUUAUUUUUGGGUCAAAAGAACUAAAUAUUGUUUUAAUUUGGUAGUCGAUGGUAAUGUAUAUUGUUCCUAUCCCAUAGGAAAGACAUAAGAUUACUAUUAGCAUACUAGACUAGAUUUGAAGUUACACUUCUGGGAUUUGUUUGUAGAAAAACAACGCAUAGGCAUGUGCAUUGUAUGCACACCCCGUAGUUAUUAAUUAAUAGAUGAAAACGAAGAUUUCAAAGUGAUUUUAGUUAGAGUUGUUAAAAAAUUAGGUAAACGCGUUUUAAAGUAUAGAUUUCUAAUCCAUAUCCAUUCCAUAAUCAAUCAACGUGAUUUUGGGCACAUUAAGUGCUCUAGUUUUUCAUAUUUAUCCACCAAGCGCAGACCAAUGACUUAUCAAAGUAUGCCCUUUAGCAACAAGUUUGAUAAUGAAUCUUGUAUACGAAAGGGGAAAAAAAUGUUGAGAGCUAACUGCACCAUGCUAUGAAUAUUUACAACUCAAAUAAAAUUAUCUCUCUUAGAAGGUACAAUGAAAAACAAUUAAAAAUGUCAUUUGCAUACUUUUAUGUUUUAUGUAUAGCUGGAAUCAUUUAUUUUAAAAUAAUUGUUUUUAAAAAUAUAUUCCUAACAAACUUUUAAUUGAUGGUUACUUUACCUGAAGGCUUUCAAGAUAUCAAUAUUAAAUUAAUGGUUAGCAAUGUCUAUGGGCAUUUAUGUUACAUUACUCCAUCAAUACUUAAUAGCAAACGCAGUGUGAACCAGUGACAAUUUCUUAACAGUAUUAUUACAUCAUUUUAGGCCAUAUUAGCUUUCAAGUUUCAAUCAAUCUCAUUAAAAAAAAAAAAGGUUGACACUUGAUAUUAUUAAUCUUAAGAAAAUAAAGAGUAUAAUAUCUUAAAAUCAUUUAUAAUAAGUUAUAAAUGGAUAAAAACUAUAUCCCUUACAUAUGUUUAUAUAUUUAAAUUAUAUUUUCAUAUUCAAAUAAAUUUGUGAAAGGAUAUUACAUCUAUAUCUACUACUUAAUAUGAGUUAGGUAAUGUUGUUCACGCUAGUAAAACGUAGAAGCAACAUAUAUGCCGCAAAGAAUAUUUUGACUGACCGAAUUACAUGAUGCCACGAAGAGGUUGAGCUUCGAUUGAGGUUAGUUUUAUCUUUUAAGCAAAUUAAUGUCUUGCCGUAAGGCUCCUUGAUAAAAUUAAAAAUAAAAUAAAAAUUCCUUUUAUCUUCUUUUUUUAACAAAAUUUGGCUAUACUUAUACAAGGCACAUAUGAUUAGAUUUUAAAACAUUUAUAAUGAAACCAAGUAACUAACAAACAAGCAUGUCAAGGAAUAUGCUGCUCGGGUAAGGGGAACGCAUCAUAUAUCUUGUGAACGAAUGCGGAUCCAAAUGACCAAAUCCGUAACAAGCUCAAAUAACCAAAAGUUAUUAUCGCUAACACUGUUUCAAUUAUGAUUUGAAAAUCCUAAUCCACAGAAAAAUGAAGCUAAGUAGAUUUAGACCUUAAAUAAAUUCUCCUAAAAUCAGUCCCGACCAAAACCAAUGAUGCAUGUUAGAUUUUGGAAUUUGACUUUAGCCAGUAUCCACUACUUUGAAGAAUCAUCAUGCCAAUACCCUGCUUCUGCAGUGUUGAACCUAAUAUAUAUCUAUCUAUAAAUUAAAAUAAUCUACUUUUUCAAGUAAGAAGUUAAUUAUGCCAAAACAUUAAUACUUUAUAAUUAAAUUUUUAGACUUAAAUUUUAUAUUUUUAGUUAUUUUAUAUAAAUUCUAUAUGAUGUAUAUUUUAGUUGGACAAUAUGACAAAAUGUGGUAUGCUUUAUAGUUAUUUAUAAAUAACUAUCCUAAAAUUUAAAAACCAUAAUAUAAUGUAUAUAAUCUUAGUAAGAUUUUAAAACAGAUUUUACUUGGGACAAUAAUUUUAUUGCAGUUUUAUGGUUUUCCUGAUAAAAUUGUUCAUUUGAUUAUGAGUUGCAUCUCCUCUGCAACUUAUCUGCAACUUACUCUCUGAAAUAGAAUAAUGCUAUCAUAGCUUAGUUUUGUUUCACAAAUAGGGUUACGGCAAAAAAAAAUCCUAUGUCAAGUUAUAAAAUUAUAUUUUCAAAAAUUAUAUUUCUAGAAAUGUAAUGCAUAAAAAUAUUAUUCCCAUAAACAUGUUUGAUUGUCAUUAGGAAAUUUUGAAGAUGUGAAGAAAGCAAAUAACAAAAACAUGUGUAUUCCAUAUUUCUUGGAAUCAAAUAUUCCUGAGAAUAUUUAUCCAAAACUUGUAACAUGCGUGGGAAUGUGAUAUUCCCAAGUGAUCAUUUCCGGGAAUCUUCCUCGAUAACCUGAAACAAACGGCUUGUAACAAAUAUUUUAUAUCCCACAUCAAGGAAUAUGCUGCUGCUCGGUUAAGGGGAACGCAAUUCAUAUAUCUAAUAUAAACGCAUGCGGAUCCAAAUCGGUAACAAGCUCAAAUAAUCAAAAGCUAUAAUCGCUAACACUGUUUAAAUUAUAAAUUAUAAUUUGAAAAUCCUAAUCCACAGGAAAAUGAAGGUCAAUAGAUUUAGACCUUAAGAUAGAUUCUCCUAAAAUCGGAGUCCCAAAACCAAAUUAUGCAUGUUAUAUUUUGGAAUUUGACCACUGGCCACUACUUUGAAGAAUCAUCAUGCCAAUACCCUGCUUCUGCAGUGUUGGACUUAAAAACGCAUCAUCACUGCUGAGUAUGGCCAGCCCAUAGUUGAUGUUGGUACAUGGGCAUGGUAUGAAUGGGCUGACUAGCAUUAUUAUUGUAGAGUCCUGAGCCACCUGGCCCCUUACUAAAAUGACUAUUCUCAUUAUCCUCAGAUGAAUCAGUUGAAGGCCCUAGAGAGGUAGGCGUAGUUGGAGUCGGAGAAGCACCAAAGGCUA
rnacentral:lncRNA from 1 species